UAGGGAAUAUUGGACAAUGGGGGCAACCCUGAUCCAGCCAUGCCGCGUGAGUGAGGAAGGCCCUCGGGUUGUAAAGCUCUUUUGUCCGGAAAGAAAAGCUUCGGGUUAAUACCCCGGGGUUCUGACGGUACCGGAAGAAUAAGCACCGGCUAACUUCGUGCCAGCAGCCGCGGUAAUACGAAGGGUGCAAGCGUUACUCGGAAUUACUGGGCGUAAAGCGUGCGUAGGUGGUUGUUUAAGUCUGAUGUGAAAGCCCUGGGCUCAACCUGGGAAUGGCAUUGGAAACUGGGCAGCUAGAGUGCGGUAGAGGGUAGUGGAAUUCCCGGUGUAGCAGUGAAAUGCGUAGAGAUCGGGAGGAACAUCUGUGGCGAAGGCGACUGCCUGGACCAGCACUGACACUGAGGCACGAAAGCGUGGGGAGCAAAC
rnacentral:rRNA from 1 species